GGAGGGAGGCCAGAUCCUGGGCUCUGUCCCGGCGCCCAGUGCUCCUGGUCUGCGCUGUUGGAUUCCCGCUCCCAGCUGCGCAGCCCCCU
rnacentral:pre_miRNA from 1 species